rnacentral:rRNA from 1 species
CCUACGGGUGGCAGCAGUGGGGAAUAUUGCACAAUGGGGGAAACCCUGAUGCAGCGACGCCGCGUGAGUGAAGAAGCGUUUCGGCGCGUAAAUCUCUGUCAGCGGGGAAGAAACACGGUUCGCGAGAGCCGCGGACGGUACACGACCAAGAAGCCCCGGCUAACAACGUGCCAGCAGCACCGGUAAUACGCAGGGGGCACGCGCUAUCCGGACGCACUGGGGGUAAAGGGAGCGUGGACGGCGCGACAAGACUGGCGUGAAAGGCCGGGGCCCAACCCCGGGACUGCUCUGGAAACUGGCUGGCUGGAGUACAGGAGAGGUAAGUGGAAUUCGUAGUGUAGCGGUGAAAUGCGUAGAUAUUACGAAGAACUCCAGUGGCGAAGGCGGCAUACUGGACUGUAACUGACGCUGAGGCUCGAAAGCGUGGGGAGCGAACAGGAUUAGAUACCCGUGUAGUC